GCCUGGGAGAGGAUAGCUCAGUUGGUGGAGCCUGAGACUCUUAACCUCAAGGUGAUGAGUUCAAGCCCCAUGUUGGGCA